rfam:Camelus ferus unplaced genomic scaffold scaffold2639, whole genome shotgun sequence.
CCAAAGGCUCUUUUCAGAGCCACCACAAUUUUCGAGGAAGAGCUG